rnacentral:lncRNA from 1 species
UUGGCGGCCGCGCUUCCCCCGUCGGGGCGACGCUCGGACUGACGGUUAUAAAUGUUAAACAAAUCUGACCGGUUGGACCCGGUGCCGUACAAUUCCAUCUGCACAAAAAUACAGGUUACAAACAAAGGGAAGCAUCAGCAUUAAAAGAAAAGGGAGACAACAACAACAAAAAAAAAAAAAAAAAGGAGGAGGAAAGCAAACGAACAAAAACCCCGAACCGAACCCAACGCGACGUCCUCAGCUCCACGCAGCGCCGAUCCCGUGAAGUUGGAGCGGGCAGAAACACGCACACGGGGGGGGGGACGACGACCAGAAAACCCACCUUUUUACAACAAAAGGUUUUUCUUUCCGAAAAGGGAAAAAUAGAAGAAACGCUCUUAGGAAACGAACGGGACUGCGGGAGCCGAACCUCCUCCCAAAGCACGCCGGGUUUGCGGGGUUGGAAGGCCGACGCCAGAAGAGUUGAAGUUAAGGAAAGCAGCGGGGAGGGGGCGGCCCCGCUUUUCGCUCCCCCCGCUCGUGUGACCCCCAUAACCCCGCAGCAGCGCCGGGGAGGGGUUGAAGUCACACCGCACGCGUUUCUAUGGGGGAAGGGGGGGGAAGAAAACAAAGUUGAAAUGUUUUCAUUUCUACCUCUUUUCUUUUUUUCCUCCCCGUACAUCGCAAAGAGGCGCACAAAGCGGAGCUGCCGGGGGGUCCCGGAGUGGCCCCCGCCGCCGCCCGGCUCUCACGUGGCCCCGCGGCCGCCCCGGGCGGACACAAAGAGGAUUCGUCGUGGAGGUGUUUCGGGGGGUGCCAUUUUUCUGGUUGGUUUUUAAUUAUGAUCUCUUCCCCCCCCCCCCCCCCCCUCCCGGUUUGUUUGCUUAAUUAUUAUUAAUUUGUUUUUUUUUCCCUCUCUCUCUCUCUGCAAAAAUAAACUCCCAACAUCUUAGAUUUUGUUUCUUUAUUGUACAAUUUAUAAAACAUCGCGCUGCCCUCCCGC